ensembl:lncRNA
AAGAGAUUACUGGCAGCCCACGAUGCUGAAUUGGGAGUGUGGAGAGCAGGUCCAGACCCGUUGGUGCUCAUGUUACCAAUGGUUCCGCUGAAAAGCUCAGGAAUUUUUUCUCUCGCAAGUCAACACCUGCUUGUUGAGGAAAUUUCUCACCGAUGGCAGCUGCUUCCUCCAGAGCCCUCAGAGCUUUUUAUGGGACAUAAACAAAGUGCUGACACCUGCUGAAGUACAUCCCAAAAACUGCUCCAUAUGGAGAUGAAAAAGAAGGGGGUGUGCUUGAAUGCAUCGUUCCAUGUACGAAUGUUGCGCAAGAAGGGGAGCUGAGAUGUAUGCCUGCGGCAUUUCAAGGUCAAGCAGGUGUUGUUGCUAACGCAAUCCACGUGCCGUGUUUAUACGACUGCAUGAGUAACCGGAAAAAAGAUUUCGUUUUUUGCGCUUGCGAGUAAGUCAAUCUUGGCAUAAUUGGCCCUUUAAUUGCAUCCAUAUGCUUGUAAUUCUUCUUCCUUUUUCUGCAAAACAUACCA